rnacentral:tRNA from 1 species
UUCUUGAUAGGGUAGUGGAUUAGCACGGCAGUCCGGAUAUCUGUAAGUGCGGGUUCGAGUCCCGCUUGAGGUU